CAUGGACACAAUGCACUUUCACAUGACAUGUUGGGGAUCGGAGAGUGACAAACUUGCACACUAUCAGUGGUUAUGGAUUUGAGAAAAUGUAAGGCUCUGCAUAGGCUGAUGAGACAAGGAGGGAUGGCCGUUGGAGGGGUGAUGUCACAGAUAAUUGGCGUGAAUGUACUGACUAAGCUGAACUGGAAGUUGAGAGCUUAGUUAGAGACAGAGAUAUAAAAGCACCCCCAUCUAGAUCCACCGAGCCGAUGCACCGCGAGGGGAGAUUGAGAGACAAUACCCAAGACGUCUGGAGCGCAAUUCUUUUCCCAUGGUCUGCUGCUCCUCGAAGAUGGCCUGAAAAAGCGGGCAAGCUGAGGUGACAAUUAAUUUGCACCAUAUAAUCCACCUCUCCUUCUAUUACAGGGCCCUGGUCGUGGGAUUCAUGCCAAGUCUUGCACAUCGGAGCCCGAGGAGGCUGCUUUGGGCAGGAACAAUUUCAUCAGCCGAAGAUGAUUGAUGAGUUAGAUGGUCUGGGCCAAAGGCUGCAGAUAACGCCGUCCCUCUACAGAUAUCUCCACAAAUCCCCCCUUGACCUCCGGGCCAACCCAACUCGUCCCCUGUUCCUGCCAACAGUCCGCCCCGGGCCUUCAUACCCCCAUCACAUGGCAGCUGGUGCUGGCGCUGACUAGCUCUGGCAGCAGAGCAAGGCUUCAUUCUCAGUAGGUUGAGAGGAUGUCUGUCCCUAAACCCCGCCACAGUUAGCUUGGGCAUUGUGAAGCAAAAAUCAAUAGCAUAGAAUCCAAA